AGUAAAGUCAGCUAAUAAAGCUUUUGGGCCCAUACCCCAACCAUGUUGGUUAAAAUCCUUCCUCUACUA
rnacentral:tRNA from 3 species